GGUUAAGAGUCAAUGUCAGUGGGGGUCCAGGGCCUUGUUGGUGAGGCUGACUGCAGAGGGGAAGAAACUGUUUUUAUGGUGUAGGUAUAUGU